ACAUUCUCAAAAUAUUUUUUUUAUAUUUGGAAUGAUACAGAGAAAAUAACAUGGUUCCUGUACAAGGACAGAAAGCAAAAUCAAAACGUUCCAUACACACAUUUGU